rnacentral:rRNA from 1 species
AUGAAUAGUUUGGACAUCCAGUUAAACAAAGUCCUGCACCACCAAGCCACUCUCAGUGCAUGCUCUAUUUGUGGAGUGGAAGAUGAAAAUACGUUUCAUGCACUAGUAAAGUGCCCAAAGGCAUAUGCGUUGCGUAUGGCCAUGAGGGACAUAUGGGAUCUUCCUGGGGAGAAGGUUUUCAAGCAUUAGGGGCCUGAUUGGUUUCUCAAUCUUCUGGACCAAUUGAGUGCUAAUCUGUGUGACCAAAUUAUAUUCAUUUUCUGGAGAGCAUGGCAUUUGAGAAAUGACUUGAUAUUUGGUACGGGGAAGGAACUGGUCUCGGCCUCUGCUAAUUUUGUGGAGAAUUAUUUGUCCUCAUUUUUUGCAAUUCAAUCCAGUCUAGAGGUGGACUCGAAAAAUAAAGGUAAAGGUACGCAGUAUGGCUUAAAACUUAUUCCUAAUCCGUUGGAAACUCAGGUUCUAUGGAAACCCCCUUCUUCGAACUAUAUUAAGAUAAAUGUCGAUGCAAACUUUUUGGAGUGCAUUACCGCUGCAAGUGUGGGCGUGGUGUCUAGGGACUCUUCGGGGAAGGUCCUCGUCUCUUCCUGGCAUUACAUUGGACUUUGUAAAAGCGUGGAAGAGGCGGAACUCCAAGCAUGCCUUGCUGGUCUAUAUAUAGGUAUCACUUUUCACAAUCCUAUAAUUUUAAAGACUAACUGUGCUUUUGUGGUUGCGUCCCUUGCAAAUGAAAUGGUGGAGAGGUCCUUAUUGGCGGAUUUGAAAAAGGAAGCGAGAAGUUUAUCUAAGCUUAUAAGCAAUUUCAAAUAUUCCAAGAUUAAUCGCUCAGCUAAUGUGGUGGCCCAUAUGAUUGCAAAAUUUAGCUUCGACAAUAGAUCAGAUGGUAUCCUUGGUAAAUAA